rnacentral:rRNA from 1 species
AGAGUUUGAUUAUGGCUCAGAACGAACGCUGGCGGCAUGGAUUAGGCAUGCAAGUCGAACGAAGUAGCAAUACUUAGUGGCGCAAGGGUGAGGAACGCGUGAGUGACCUACCCGCAAGUUGGAACAGCUCCUGGAAACGGGAAUUAAUACCGGAUGUGAUCAAUGAGCUGCAUGGUUUAUUGAUUAAAGCAGUAAUGCGCUUGCGGAUGGGCUCGCGUCCCAUUAGCUAGUUGGUGAGGUAACGGCCCACCAAGGCCAUGAUGGGUAGCUGGUCUGAGAGGACGACCAGCCACACUGGGACUGAGAACUGCCCAGACUCCUACGGGAGGCUGCAGUCGAGAAUUUUGGGCAAUGGACGAAAGUCUGACCCAAGCAAUGCCGCGUGCGGGAUGAAGGUCUUCGGAUUGUAAACCGCUGUUUGGAGGGACGAAAAUUGACGGUACUUCCAGAGAAAGCCACGGCUAACUACGUGCCAGCAGCUGC